UACGUAGGGCGCAAGCGUUAUCCGGAAUUACUGGGCGUAAAGAGCUCGUAGGUGGUUUGUCGCGUUGUUCGUGAAAACUCACAACUCAAUUGUGGGCGUGCGGGCGAUACGGGCAGACUGGAGUACUGCAGGGGAGACUGGAAUUCCUGGUGUAGCGGUGGAAUGCGCAGAUAUCAGGAGGAACACCGGUGGCGAAGGCGGGUCUCUGGGCAGUAACUGACGCUGAGGAGCGAAAGCGUGGGGAGCGAACAGG
rnacentral:rRNA from 1 species